UUUUUUAGAGUUUGAUUCCCUGCUCAGGACGAACGCUGGCGGCGUGCCUAAUACAUGCAAGUCGAACGCUUCUUUCCUCCCGAGUGCUUGCACUCAAUUGGAAAGAGGAGUGGCGGACGGGUGAGUAACACGUGGGUAACCUACCCAUCAGAGGGGGAUAACACUUGGAAACAGGUGCUAAUACCGCAUAACAGUUUAUGCCGCAUGGCAUAAGAGUGAAAGGCGCUUUCGGGUGUCGCUGAUGGAUGGACCCGCGGUGCAUUAGCUAGUUGGUGAGGUAACGGCUCACCAAGGCCACGAUGCAUAGCCGACCUGAGAGGGUGAUCGGCCACACUGGGACUGAGACACGGCCCAGACUCCUACGGGAGGCAGCAGUAGGGAAUCUUCGGCAAUGGACGAAAGUCUGACCGAGCAACGCCGCGUGAGUGAAGAAGGUUUUCGGAUCGUAAAACUCUGUUGUUAGAGAAGAACAAGGACGUUAGUAACUGAACGUCCCCUGACGGUAUCUAACCAGAAAGCCACGGCUAACUACGUGCCAGCAGCCGCGGUAAUACGUAGGUGGCAAGCGUUGUCCGGAUUUAUUGGGCGUAAAGCGAGCGCAGGCGGUUUCUUAAGUCUGAUGUGAAAGCCCCCGGCUCAACCGGGGAGGGUCAUUGGAAACUGGGAGACUUGAGUGCAGAAGAGGAGA
rnacentral:rRNA from 1 species